rnacentral:lncRNA from 1 species
CAACAGCAAGUAACGGCUAGUUUUUGAAAUCUAACCAAUGAGGGGUGACCAAUGGAUAAGGAAAAGUAUUUAAAGUAACACUAUUCAUCAGAGAAAAGAUCCUUUUGCAAAUCAAUCAAAGCUCAUUCAAGAAAGAAAAAGCCCUAGCAUUCUUCAUCAAGUGCUUCAUUCAAAGAACCAAAAGGAAGUGGUUGAGCAGAUUCUAAGAGACAUUAAGAGCUCCACCAACCCUUGAAGAGUGAAGCAAUCUUGACAAAGAAGAGAGAAGUCUCAUCAAAGCGAUAACUAUAUUCUAAACUCUUCUUUGUAGCUCAUAGUUGUUAUAUUUGCUCAUCUAGGAGUUUCAACUUUCUUCUUCUUCUUAAUCACCUUGUAAAGGUUUGUUGGUGAGCCCGUAAAACCAACGGUGUAGGUUUGUUGGUGAACCCGUAAAACCAACUGUGAAGGUUUGUUGGUGAGCCCG